CCUUACCUGGGCUUAAAUGUAGAGUGCAUGAGUGGGAAACCAUUCUUUCCUUCGGGACUCUUUACAAGGUGCUGCAUGGUUGUCGUCAGCUCGUGCCGUGAGGUGUCGGGUUAAGUCCCAUAACGAGCGCAACCCCUACCUUUAGUUGCCAUCAGGUAAUGCUGGGGACUCUAAAGGAACUGCCUACGCAAGUAGUGAGGAAGGUGGGGAUGACGUCAAAUCAUCACGGCCCUUACGUCCAGGGCUACACACGUGCUACAAUGGCGCAUACAAAGGGCAGCUACAUGGUGACAUGGUGCUAAUCUCUAAAGUGCGUCUCAGUUCGGAUCGAAGUCUGCAACUCGACUUCGUGAAGCUGGAAUCGCUAGUAAUCGCGUAUCAGCCAUGACGCGGUGAAUACGUUCCC
rnacentral:rRNA from 1 species